rnacentral:rRNA from 1 species
GACGAACGCUGGCGGCGUGCCUAAUACAUGCAAGUCGAGCGGACUGAAUGGGAGCUUGCUCUUGUUCGGUCAGCGGCGGACGGGUGAGUAACACGUGGGCAACCUGCCCGCAAGACCGGGAUAACUCCGGGAAACCGGAGCUAAUACCGGAUAACACCGAAGACCGCAUGGUCUUUGGUUGAAAGGCGGCGCAAGCUGCCACUUGCGGAUGGGCCCGCGGCGCAUUAGCUAGUUGGUGAGGGAACGGCUCACCAAGGCGACGAUGCGUAGCCGGCCUGAGAGGGUGACCGGCCACACUGGGACUGAGACACGGCCCAGACUCCUACGGGAGGCAGCAGUAGGGAAUCUUCCGCAAUGGGCGAAAGCCUGACGGAGCGACGCCGCGUGGGCGAAGAAGGCCUUCGGGUCGUAAAGCUCUGUUGUGAGGGACGAAGGAGCGCCGUUUGAAGAAGGCGGCGCGGUGACGGUACCUCACGAGGAAGCCCCGGCUAACUACGUG